rnacentral:rRNA from 1 species
GGCGGACGGGUGAGUAACGCGUGGGUAACCUGCCUUGUACAGGGGGAUAACAGUCAGAAAUGACUGCUAAUACCGCAUAAGCGCACAGGACCGCAUGGUCCGGUGUGAAAAACUCCGGUGGUAUAAGAUGGACUCGCGUCCAAUUAGCUAGUUGGUGAGGUAACGGCCCACCAAGGCGACGAUUGGUAGCCGGACUGAGAGGUUGAACGGCCACAUUGGGACUGAGACACGGCCCAGACUCCUACGGGAGGCAGCAGUGGGGGAUAUUGCACAAUGGGGGAAACCCUGAUGCAGCGACGCCGCGUGGAGGAAGAAGGUUUUCGGAUUGUAAACUCCUGUCGUUAGGGACGAUAAUGACGGUACCUAACAAGAAAGCACCGGCUAACUACGUGCCAGCAGCCGCGGUAAAACGUAGGGUGCAAGCGUUGUCCGGAAUUACUGGGUGUAAAGGGAGCGCA